GCCACUCUACUUUAGCCUGGGCGACAGAGAGAGACCCUAUCUCAAAAAAAAAAAAAUUAUCUAAUAUUUACUUUGAUUGAGGGCAAAGCUGGGCCCAGCAGGACAAAGGCACCUUUCCCCAGUGUGUCAGGAGUUGGGUGUGGAGACCCAACGCCACUGAUGGCAGAUUUCCAAUGUAUUUCAGGAAUGUGCUUGCCUCCUUAUGAUGUGUUACCCUGGCUCCCUCUUCAUCUAGUCAUUUCUUUAUGUGUCUAGAGCCCCACAAAGGGUGACUAGGUCCACCUAGCUGAUAGAGUUCACUUUGGCUCAGGAUUACUUUUCUUUUUUAGUCACUUAAGAAACUCCAUUUCCCAAUUUGCCUGUCCCAUACAUUUAAGUACCCAUGUCUUUCAUGACACUGCCACAGGUUCUUGUGUCUGAAUGCUUACCAGGGACUAAAAUAAAUUCACACUGCUAUUUUGUUGGUGAAAUGUACUAUCACACACGUGGAGUUUUUAGAUUUGUGGAUUUAGAUGAGUAACUUAAAAUUUUCCUUUCUUGUUCUUAAUUUGUUUUCUAAUUUGGGAUAAAUGAAGUUAGCGGGGAGGAGAUGCUCUAAGAACCGGCUCUCGUUAUCAUAACGCGUGGUUUGCACACGCCCAGACUCCGAGACACUCCUCCUCAGAGCCAUUUCAAGGGCAGAGAACAUUCCUAAUCUCUAGGUUGCCUCACUUCCCUUUGUUUUAAUCCUCUAACCUCCCCAAGCAUGUAGAAAAUUCCAGAGGAGUGGCACUCCUCACACUUUCACAAAUUCUCUUUGGCCGCCCCAUCCUGGCUCACUUCUAACCUGUGCAGAUACAGUUGGUUCCAAUUUCUUUCUAGUGGGCAGAGAUUAAGGGAGUAGAAAGUCAUUUAAAGAUUUUGCACUGCUAUGCCAAAUAUUACUGUAAACAUUAUUUUCUACCUGUUCCCCAUAAUACCUCUUGAGCGAAGCCUGGAAUUCUACUAGUAAUACUAGAACUUUCCUGUGGCUAAAUUUUGAUUGUUCCUAAAAGAUCAGUAUGCUGGAGGACUGCAUUUUAAGCUGUCCUAAGUCACCUGUGUCUUAAUGUGAGCGGCAGGCAGCUUGUGUCAGUGGUGGUUCUGAGGGCAGCCCUGGGAUGGAGGGGGAGGAGAACUCGUAGCUCAGGACACAGAGAGAACUUCCACCUUGGUAGGAGCUGUCCUGGGCCUGCUUACAGGUGGUAAGUCAUGUUUUGACCCUGAGUCUCCCCUCCUCCUUGCAGGUGUAGCUGUUCCUUGUCUUUGGUUUUCAAAUUAGAAAUGCUUAUUUAGGGUAGCAAUGGAAAACAGAUGGUAAGUUAGCAAAAUCAGCAGAGGAUGGAGAACCCAUGAACAAUAAAAUACCAGAAAAGUGUCACCCAAAAUGCCAUAUUAAAAAAAGUUAACCAUUAAAAAAACUGAGAGCCAAGAAUAAAGGCACCUCAAGGGUAGAAACACGCACCAUAUUUUUUGCACUUUUUUUUUUUGCCCUGUGAUAUUAGUCCAUCUUUUAUGAAGAUCAUCUUUUAUGAAAGUCAAUAACUUUAACUAAUGUUAGGAUGUCUCCUGAGGCAAUGUGAGAUUAUAUGGUAGGUAAACAGUAGGCAGUUGCUGUAGCAAAAGAAAGUGUCAUUUAGGAACACAGUCAGCCCCGUGACAGCUGUCCCUUUUCCUCACUCCCUAUGGAGAUCAUCCUUUGGCCUGGACGUUAUUGAGCUGCUGGAUUAAAAGCAUGAGAAUCGAGCCUCGUUUUCUUCCAUGUCUAUUCUUAGAGAAUCUAUUUAUUCUUUUUCAACUCACCAGGACCAGUCUCAGAAAAUGUUGAGAACUGGGUGUGAGCUGUAAUCACUUACGUGGUCCUUUGUGGUUUGCAGAGCAUCUUUGCAUGCGUUAUUGCAUUUCGUCCUCCCAGUAACGCUGUGACGUUUCUGGCUCCUUCCAAAUGUUCGAUUCAAGACAGCAGAAGCACACAGAGUGCUUUCAAGGACAAAGAACUGAACUACAGGCUGUGGGAGGACGCAGAGGAUGAAUGAGGGCUCCUCCAGGAUGUGCAAAGGCAGGAAGCACAACCAGCCUGCAGAUGAGGACUGACAGAGCAAAACAAACAGCCAUGACGGGGCUCAGGAUGUGCUACCCCACAAUAUGGCACCUUGGCCUAUUGUAUAGUUUAAGCUGAAGAUAUUUGAGAAAACUACAGAAGCAGGAAAGUCUCUCUGACCUUCCUCCACCCUUCUUUCCUGAGGCAGGUGGUCAAACCCAGGAAGGAUUCUCUGACUUUCCCCUGAAGCGGGUCAUGGGAUGCUUCCUGUAUCCCGAAGAAAGGAGCAUCCUUAUCUCUGCAGACACAGGACACAGAGAAGAGUCUGAGCAAACAGGCCUUGCUAAGUUCCCCCAGUUUAUUACCACUAGACCAUACUCUUUGCCCUAUCACACUUCUCCAUGACUGUGCACUCUCCAUCAAACCUGCCAGAAAACAUAGAUUUAACUGUUUCUUCAGGACUUCAUUUCCUUGUGAAGGCUCCCACGUCCCGUAAAACUUAUAUUAAAUAUAUUCAUAUGCUU